AUAUUUGCUAAAGAUUCAUCGCUGAUAGAUAGGCAUGCGUUCCAUUAGGCAGUUGGCGGGGUAACGGCCCACCAAACCGACGAUGGAUAGGGGUUCUGAGAGGAAGGUCCCCCACAUUGGUACUGAGACACGGACCAAACUCCUACGGGAGGCAGCAGUGAGGAAUAUUGGUCAAUGGCCGAGAGGCUGAACCAGCCAAGUCGCGUGAGGGAUGAAGGUUCUAUGGAUCGUAAACCUCUUUUAUAAGGGAAUAAAGUGCGGGACGUGUCCCGUUUUGUAUGUACCUUAUGAAUAAGGAUCGGCUAACUCCGUGCCAGCAGCCGCGGUAAUACGGAGGAUCCGAGCGUUAUCCGGAUUUAUUGGGUUUAAAGGGUGCGUAGGCGGCCUUUUAAGUCAGCGGUGAAAGUCUGUGGCUCAACCAUAGAAUUGCCGUUGAAACUGGGGGGCUUGAGUAUGUUUGAGGCAGGCGGAAUGCGUGGUGUAGCGGUGAAAUGCAUAGAUAUCACGCAGAACCCCGAUUGCGAAGGCAGCCUGCCAAGCCAUUACUGACGCUGAUGCACGAAAGCGUGGGGAUCAAACAGGAUUAGAUACCCUGGUAGUCCACGCAGUAAACGAUGAUCACUAGCUGUUUGCGAUACACUGUAAGCGGCACAGCGAAAGCGUUAAGUGAUCCACCUGGGGAGUACGCCGGCAACGGUGAAACUCAAAGGAAUUGACGGGGGCCCGCACAAGCGGAGGAACAUGUGGUUUAAUUCGAUGAUACGCGAGGAACCUUACCCGGGUUUGAACGCAUUCGGACCGAGGUGGAAACACCUUUUCUAGCAAUAGCCGUUUGCGAGGUGCUGCAUGGUUGUCGUCAGCUCGUGCCGUGAGGUGUCGGCUUAAGUGCCAUAACGAGCGCAACCCUUGCCACUAGUUACUAACAGGU
rnacentral:rRNA from 1 species